rnacentral:rRNA from 1 species
ACGCUCGACACCUACGGAGGCAGCAGUGGGGAAUAUUGCACAAUGGGGGAAACCCUGAUGCAGCGACGCCGCGUGGAGGAAGAAGGUCUUCGGAUUGUAAACUCCUGUUGUUGGGGAAAAAGAGGAUGGUACCCAACAAGGAAGUGACGGCUAACUACGUGCCAGCAGCCACGGUAAUCUGAGCGGGCUGGCAAGGC